rnacentral:lncRNA from 1 species
GUUUCCCUGCAUCAUCCUGCUCCCCUCUCCCCUCUACCUGUAGCGCUUGGUGUUGAUGAGCCAAUGCACGAAGUCCUUGGCCUUCAUCUUGUCCAGGGAUGGGAAGGAGAUCGGCACUCAGCCUUGCUCACCACGCUGCCAACACAACCUUUGGGUCUGGGCACUGUGAAACCCCCGUGGGACGUGGCAAUGUGGGCUGUCAGAAUGGCCGAAUCCAAAGGAAUCAGGCACAACUCAAUAGCCCGGAGCUCAGCUCUCAGCCCACAGCAGCCGCUGCCCACAGCCAACCAACCACCCGAUGCCAUACCUGAGUGCAUCCCCCGUGUCCCUGGGAGCCACCUGCCACGCUGCUGGGAUCAGCACAGCCAACACCAGCCCGGAGAGGUACAGCCAACGGAUGAGCUUCAUUUGCCCUCCUGGAAUUCAGACAGAAAAGUACAGCUUGCCAUCACCGUGAAACCCCCUCCAACCCUUCCAGCAUGGCAAGGAUGGAUGUGGAAAGGGAGAGAUCCCUCCCA